ACGGGUGAGUAACGCGUGGGAACGUACCCUUUACUACGGAAUAACGCAGGGAAACUUGUGCUAAUACCGUAUGUGCCCUUUUGGGGAAAGAUUUAUCGGUAAGGGAUCGGCCCGCGUUGGAUUAGCUAGUUGGUGGGGUAAAGGCCUACCAAGGCGACGAUCCAUAGCUGGUCUGAGGGGAUGAUCAGCCACAUUGGGACUGAGACACGGCCCAAACUCCUACGGGAGGCAGCAGUGGGGAAUAUUGGACAAUGGGCGCAAGCCUGAUCCAGCCAUGCCGCGUGAGUGAUGAAGGCCCUAGGGUUGUAAAGCUCUUUCACCGGAGAAGAUAAUGACGGUAUCCGGAGAAGAAGCCCCGGCUAACUUCGUGCCAGCAGCCGCGGUAAUACGAAGGGGGCUAGCGUUGUUCGGAAUUACUGGGCGUAAAGCGCACGUAGGCGGACAUUUAAGUCAGGGGUGGAAUCCCAGAGCUCAACUCUGGAACUGCCUUUGAUACUGGGUGUCUUGAGUAUGGAAGAGGUGAGUGGAAUUCCGAGUGUAGAGGUGAAAUUCGUAGA
rnacentral:rRNA from 1 species